CCCAAAGCAUUGUAUCUUUAGCGGAGAUGGAUUUACCAAAUUAAUAAAAUUGCUCUAACAUACCUUUCAAAAAAAAAGUACCUUCUACAAUUGCAAAUGUGGCAGUAUGACCCCCUAACUUAGAUUCAUAGUGUAAUUAACCCCCUUAACUUUACAAUGUGACAUUUAAACCCCAUUAGGUUUUAAAUACGUGAAAUUAAAUACAAAUUCAAUUUUCCGGCCAAAUUAUCACCGAAAAAUAAUGACAUGGUGUAAUCCCCCAUAUUUUCUUAGUAAAUAAUUAUAUAUAUUUUUAUGUAUAUGACUAUAUUAAUAAUUUUAUAUUUAUACAAUAAUUUUAUAUUUAUGCAAAAAUAUUUUUGGGAAGAUUUCACAAAAUAAAAACAAGAAUUUUUAAACCCAUACUUCCAUUUCAAUUAAGUAAACUUACCCCUUGUCUCUCCUCAUUCACAUUUACAAUUAAGGAAACUUGCUCCUUAUUUCCCCUUCUCAAAACCCUCGUAUAUUGCCUUCUACUGCUUCCCCUUAUUACUCCCUUUCCCUUGCUCCCUCCUCCUCCUUUCACGACUCACAAACAAAAAAAAAAAAAAAAAAAAAAAGUCUGCUGCUUCCUUUGUUGCGCUGCUGCUGCUGCUGCCUCAGCCGGAACCCACCACCACCGCAGUGCCGCCGGCGACCCUCGCCGCUGCCCUCAGCCCUACUGCCGCCGCCGGAGAGGACUUCGUAGAGGGUGACUUCUAGCCUUAAAGUGGCCAAUCAAUUUGUGUACUCAAGAUUAAUCACAGGUUUUUGCAUAAACUGAGUCGGGGUGAUGGGAUUUGAGUGGAGCGUUGGUUAAUUACUUAGCUUAUUUCAUACCAUAGAUUGAAUUUUAUUUUGGUUCAAAUUCUGUUUACUUCCUAUUUUACUGGAUUUUGAAUAAGGGCCGUUACGGUUCCAACUUGUAAGACUAAAUUGAGUUUUGACUUUUAGUUUUGAAACUUACAUUUUCUUUUAAAACUAAAUUAGUUUUCCGCUGCUGAUAUUUGAAACUAGCCUUAACGUUUGAACACGUGGCGGUAGCACUCCAAUAAUUCUUUCCCAGGUUAUGUCAGAUUACAGGUUAUACAGGUUAUGCAAGUUAAUACAGGAUUUUACAGGUUUUUGUAAAAAGAGAAUUAUUGGGGUGUUACACAUGGCACGUUAUGUAUAUCAGAUUUUGAUCGUUUUACUAUAUACACAAAUAAAUACAAUAAAAAUAUGUAUAUUUUACAAUUUCCAUUCAACUCAACAUUGCAGCUUGUGCCAUCAAGCUUAAUGAUUUUUUAGACAGUGCCAUCAUUUCAUGAUCUCUGGUUUAGUAGUUGAUGAGAGGAAUGUAAAAGCUUUGUUCAGGCGCAAAUGGAGUUAGGGGCUUUAAAGAAGGCCUAUGAAGAUCUCAAGAAAGCAAGGGAGAUAGAGCCAAUCAAUACUGAAUUACCCGUUUGGAAUUUUUUCAAUCAAGAGAUUCUGAGUUUGAAUUGAGCUAUAUCACUUUCCAUUAUACGGCUGUCUUUAUCUCAUCCAAGUAUCCAUGGUUGUCGAGCUUUUAUCCAACACAACAAACCUGGUGCAUUUUUUUAUCCAUUCGAUACAAUGCAAAAUUGUUGGUCUUUGGAUUAAGAGGGAAUUAUAUCCAAGGGUGGGUGCGUGGUUUCUUGAAGGUCUUGUUUCCGGUAGUAAAAAAAACUGCUGAGGACGGUCAAUUGAUUAUCCUAGCCGCUGGAGAGAAGCUGUUGCAUGAAUAUAAGUGGCUUGAACCUUUGGAGUCAGGUUUCAUUUAUGAUAAGCUUUGAGAGUCUAGCAGAAAUAUUUCAGGAAAUAAGGAACAAGGUACUGAAGAAUAGGGAUUUUUAUCUUCUGGUCGGAUGUGGGAUGAGCAGUACUCGACGAAGAAAAGCUAUACAUAUCACAGCAAUCAAGAAGAUCAUCGAACAAGAGUUCAUCAUCCCUGAUAUCCCUCCAUUUUUCAGAGAGAAAUGCUGCUGCUACUGCUGUUUUCUCUUAUCUCGCUUUCUCUCUCUAUAAUGGGUGUUUUUGAGGGUUUUUCAAAGAAUUUAGCAUUUGCUCAUGGGUUUUAAUUUCAUCGAAUACCUAUUUCACAAUCUUCUUAGGUGGUAGCAGCGGUACAAGAUGAGAGAUCGGUGCGUGCUACGGUGUUUGUAGCCUUGCGUCGAAAGUCUUCCUAACAAUGUAGAUGGUCAGGCAGCGGGUCCUGUGGGUGAUAACGGCGGUGCAAGAUGGUUUCGCUGAAGGGCAGGUCAUGAGUUAUGUGGUCCUUGGCUUGAGGGGAGGAUUGUUGGGAUUGGCAAUCCAAGUCCCACAUGGAAGAAAUGAGAAAGGGAUGACUUCCUUAUAAGGGGAAGCACACUCCAUUAGUAUGAGGCCUUUUAGGAAGAUGCCCAAAAACAAAUCCGUGCGGGCUAGGCCCAAACCCAAAGCGGACAAUAUCAUACUAAUGUGGUGCAGAGUGUGUGGGCGGCCCGACGAUGUGGGUGACCCGGGCUCAACAGAGUAUAAUUAACUACUUAGCUUUACCAAUUUGGCGCUAAUGACUAUCAUCUUAUUGAUUGAUCAACUAAUCAUGGCAGGCCAGACGCCCUCUAGGCGUUCUAAAUGUGAUUUCAGGUUAUGAACCAACUGCUGGUGCAACCCUCUGUUCUCACAUGAAUGUGGACAAGGAAGCAUUUCCUUCUGGUGCCUUAUGGUCUAUUAUUAAACAAGCAUUUUGAGAAAUUGACACAGUGUGAUACGCAUCUUAAUUUCCUGAGCCGGUAACCAGAAAUAAGUCUAGAUUCUCCAUACUUCGAUUUGCAGCCUUCUGUUUUUGACGACUCAAAUGAAUCUAAAAGUCAUAGCUUGGAUCAAAUAUAAACUAGCAGAGGACCUAGCAUCUCAAUCUUUGAAGAUGUUGGAAUACCUUUAUCCCAGUAAUCAUCUCUCUCAGUCAAACAAGUUAUGGAACAUCUGAGACUCUGUCUUGUGAAGCUACUUCUCCGAGCUCAGGUAUCCUUUUUAUCACCAUGUCUGCUACGAUUUAGACACCAUUGAUGUUGUUGUGUUUGUCCUAGACCUCUGUAUUUGGAGAUGGUGUCUGAAAUUUGGCAUGGAUUCCUCAACAAUUUUCUUGUUUAUUUUUCCCCCCGGGGGGGGGGGGGGUGGAGGAUGCCGAGAUUUAGUAUGUCUAUUACGAUUACUUUCAUAUAAGUUUACUAGCAAUAAAAUCAAA